GGUUCUGUGGUGUAGCGAUCAUCACAUCUGCUUUACAUGCAGACGGUCCUGGGUUCAAUCCCCAGUGGAACCA